UCUCCGUUGGUGAACCAGCGGAGGGAUCAUUACAGGACUCGCAAGACUCCUUCACCCUGUGAACCUCACUACAAGCACGUUGCGUCGGCGAGUGUCCCGGCGGGGGUUUUCCCUCGCCGGGGCGCACAGCCCGCCGGCAGCCUACUAUACUCUGUCUCUUUGCGUUGGCAUCUCGAGAAAAGACAAACAAGUUAAAACUUUCAACAACGGAUCUCUUGGUUCUG
rnacentral:misc_RNA from 1 species